rnacentral:rRNA from 1 species
AUUGAACGCUGGCGGCAGGCCUCACACAUGCAAGUCGAGCGAGCGGCGGACGGGUGAGUAAUGUAUGGGGACUGCCCGAUAGAGGGGGCUAACUACUGGAAACGGUGGCUAAUACCGCAUACUAUCGGAUAACCCAUAUGGGAUUAGCUAGUAGGUGGGGGAAAGGCUCACCUAGGCGACGAUCUCUAGCUGGUCUGAGAGGAUGACCAGGCACACUGGGACUGAGACACCGCCCAGACUCCAACGGAGGCAGCAGUGGGGAAUAGUGCACAAUGGGGGCAAGCCGGAUGCAGCCAUGCCGCGUGUAUGAAGAAGGCCUUAGGGUUGGAAAGUACGUUCAGCGAGGAGGCGUUACCCGCAGAAGAAGCACCGGCUAACUCCGUGCCAGCAGCCGCAGUAAUUC